rnacentral:lncRNA from 1 species
GUGCAAUGCCUCCAUUGACAGCUGCAUCGAUAACGCCAUUCAGGCACAUGCUGAGUAGGUUGAUGUUGCCGUGUACCUGUUUGUGCUGAUACUGGCUGAUCAAGGCCCGAAGCUCUUGGUUCUUAUUCUCAACCACCUGGAUGGCAUUUUCCAAAGGGCUUACUUCCACCUGGGGGCACACAGCACAAUGUCCUUCCAAGAAUUACAAUAAUCCCUCAUCAUGUACCUGAGAGUAGGGAUCCAUGACCUGUGAUGCUGAUUCCCCUUCCUUGAUCCUGUGAACUUGGGACUCCCUGGGUCCUUUCUACUGUUAUCUUUUGAUUUAUA